rnacentral:lncRNA from 1 species
UAUAUAUAUGCGUGUGUAUUAAAAAAAUUGAAUUAUGCAUAUAUAUAUAAUAUAGAAGGAAAACUGUUGCCAUAUGAAAGUGGUAAAACAAUUAUUGGUUCAGCAAGAGAUUAGUUAACAGUUUGUUUUAUUAAAAUUUUAUCCUAUUUCCAUGCACAGAAUCUUUGGUUGAAAGUGAGGUCCCUAGAAAUUUUUGAAUUGUGUGUGCCCGCAUGUGUUAUAUAUAAAUAUAUAUAUAUAUAUAUAUAUAUAUAUAUAUAUAUAUAUAUAUAUAUAUAUAUAUAUAUAUAUAUAUAUAUAAUGUGUGUAUGUUUAUACACAUCACACACAGUCUUUCUUUUAGACAAAAAUUUGUCCUAAAAUUUUUCUGAAGUUUUCCUAACUUUAAAAUGAACACUAAAUAAAUGCUUUAUAUGCAACAUCCCAUGUAACCCUUGGCUUAGUCUCAACAAUUCUGAUUUUUGUACAGAUAUAUCUUGCAAUACUUAAACAGCAAGAGAUUAGUUAACAGUUUGGUUGAAAGUGAGGUCCCUAGAAAUUUUUUGAAUUGUGUGUGCCCGCAUGUGUUAUAUAUAAAUAUAUAUAUAUAUAUAUAUAUAUAUAUAUA